CACGUAGGGGGCAAGCGUUGUCCGGAUUCAUUGGGCGUAAAGAGCUCGUAGGCGGUUCGAUAAGUCGGGUGUGAAACCUCCAGGCUCAACCUGGAGACGCCACCCGAUACUGUCGUGACUAGAGUCCAGUAGGGGAGCGUGGAAUUCCUGGUGUAGCGGUGAAAUGCGCAGAUAUCAGGAGGAACACCGGUGGCGAAGGCGGGUCUCUGGAACGCAACUGACGCUGAGACGCGAAAGCGUGGGGAGCAAACAGG
rnacentral:rRNA from 1 species